UACGGGGGGAGCAAGCGUUGUUCGGAUUUACUGGGCGUAAAGGGCGCGUAGGCGGCGCGACAAGUCACUUGUGAAAUCUCUGGGCUCAACCCAGAACGGUCAAGUGAUACUGUCGUGCUAGAGUGCGGAAGGGGCAACUGGAAUUCUCGGUGUAGCGGUGAAAUGCGUAGAUAUCGAGAGGAACACCUGCGGCGAAGGCGGGUUGCUGGGCUGACACUGACGCUGAUGCGCGAAAGCCAGGGGAGCGAACGGG
rnacentral:rRNA from 1 species